rnacentral:lncRNA from 1 species
CUUUUGCCUAGAAAAGAGGGUUGAGAAAUUGGAAACAAGUAAAGCAACACCCAGCAUCAUGUCUGCAUUUUGCAUAGAAGCAAUUCACAAGUCAUGUUUUCAGAUUUCAGAGCAAUCCACACUCAGCAAUAGUUUGCAGUGCUGACAAACUCAGUUGUCUUCUAAUGCUUUCAUCAUUGAUUUCUGUGUUCUUCACUUCUUGCUCUACACACCUGCCUUAGAGACACUAGAUUCAAGAAUCUUCCAAGAACCAAAUCAUCCUAUAUAAGAAGUUCGUCAUUGCUAGAAAAUACAGCCUAUCUUUUCCGAAGAAAACGAUGUAAUGAAACCAUUCUCUUCACUUUAAGAAAAAGGUUAUCCUAAUGAAAGGAAAUUAAGAACUCAAAUAUUUUAUUUUAUUCGAAUAGAUUGAUACAAAUUCCCUUGAUUUAGAACAUCUGUAAACACUGUAUAACUGCUGAGACCAUGCCAUCUGGAAAUGAAAUUAAAGUUGAUGGUUCAUAAGCAGAAAAUAGUUCCACAGGCCAGGUGGGUCCCAGUGAUUUCAUCAUUACGUUUUCUGACUUUUCUCCUUCAAGAGAGUAAUUGCUUCCUCAAAUCAGUGGGUCUUGUUUUAAAAUUCAUGGAAGCUAUAACUCCUAUCCUUAGCUUAGGUGGACUUAGAGUUUUCAUCAGAACGUUUGGCCGGACGCGGUGGCUCACGCCUGUGAUACCAGCACUAUGGGAGGCCGAGGAGGGCGGAUCACGAGGUCAGGAGAUCAAGACCACCCUGGCCAACAUGGUGAAACCCCGCCUCUACUAAAAAUACGAAAACUUCGCCCGGUAUGGCGGCGUGUGCCUGUAGUCCCAGCUACUCGGGAGGCUGAGGCAGGAGAAUGGCUUGAAACUGGGAGGCAGAGGCUACUGUGAGCCGAGAUCACACCACUGCACUCCAGCCUGGGCAACAGGAGCAAAACUCCAUCUCAAAAAACAAAAAACCAAAAACACACGCUCUGUCACACUGACGUCACACUGAUGACAGCCAAUUUUUGUGAACCAAGGAAGUGUCAAUUCAAUAAUCAGCAUAGAUGUUUACUUUGGCUAUCUCCUAUGUGCCAAGCAAGAUAUAGGCUCUGGGGAAUCAGAAACAAAAGAGACUCAAUUGUUCCUCUCACAAUACUCAGUACUUACUGAGACAAGGACAAAAUAAGAUGUCCUGUCUGGAAUGCAGGGACACAAGAACUUCAGGUCAGGGGAUAUUUCCGUUGAACCGUUUGGAGUUUAAGCUGAAAAUAUUAACGAAUGUAUCUAAAGUUCACUUUGCCUUGACUUUAUGCAUCCAUCACAUAGAGAUCACGCAGCGGGCACCCACUAUGGGUUUCAUCAUCGCUCACUUCCCUUGGAUCAACUAGAAAUCAACUCAGAUGAGAGUGCUGAGUCUCAGAGGAUGGACGUCUCACUCCUUGCCAUACAGAUAAGUAGAAAGGGUGGUAUUGAAAUUAAUGGCCAGACUCUAAGUCCCGGGCACUAUACUUGAUGGUCUCCCAACCCUCAAAAUGUUGUGGGUUCUUUUUUGUUUUUGAGACGGAGUCUCAUUCUGUUUCCCAGGCUGGAGUGCAGUGGAGCGAUCUCGGCUCACUGCAACCUCCGCAUCCCAGGUUCAAGCUAUUCUCUUGCCUCAGCCUGCCGAGUAGCUGAGAUUUCAGGCGCCCGCCACUACGCCUGGCUUAUUUUUUUCUCUUUUUAGGAGAGACGGGGUUUCACCGUGUUGGCUAGGCUGGUCUCGAACACCUGACCUUGUGAUUUGCCUGCCUCAGCCUCCCAAAGUGCUGGGAUAACAGGCGUGAGCCACCACGCCCAGCUUCAAAAGUUUUCAACAGAGCUCAGAGGUCUUAACCACAGGCACAUCCGAGGAGCAUUUUUGAAAUGGUUUCCAGCUUCCUCAAUAGGAAUGGAAGCCAAACCCGGAACUGAUGGCUCCUUGGAGGAAGUCGAGAGCUGUAAGGAAAGCCAGGAACAGGGGCAAGGGAGAGAUGCAUCCCGAAUGAUCCUGUGCCAAUUCUUUCUGGAAUCUUUGAUGUGAUCUCCGCUGCCCUUUCCAUACUUGACACAGUGAUUGUGGCACCCACUGGUCUAGCUGUGGUCUACAAGGAACCCCCAAAGGGAAGGGCACAGUGAGCAGGGGCAUCGGCCUGAGUGACAAGGAUUGGAGGGGGCAGGUUGGAUGCAGGGAGAGGACUGGCCAAAUGCCAUGUGUCUGGCUUAGACUACCUUGUUCAAAUUGGGCUUCACCAUUUUUGACUUCGUGAUCUGGUACAAGUUAUAUGAAAAUGUGUUGCUCCUUUUCUAGUCUGUAAAAUCAUAAGGAAAUGUGCACUAAUAACUGGGAGACUAUGCAGAUGAAAUGAAACAAGCUGCAUAGAACACAGAGCUCAGAGCCUGGCCUUUAGGAAGCCCUCAGUAAGGGUUCAUGAUGCCAUGGUGUCUGUCAUCAUCCUCUUUAUCCUCAUCAUCACCUUCAUCAUCUUUUUGUUGUUCUGAGGGCAUACUUUAGAGGGACUCAUUCCCUGCUCUCAUGGGUGAGAUGUCUAUGAAGAGGACAACCAGUGGGGGAGGGAAGCAAAAUUUUGAAGAAGAUUCCUGAGAGAGAUCCCCCACCACAACCAAGAACAGAAACUCCACAGUCUGCUGAGCUGACAGUUUGCACAUUGGUCUCCUCCCAUCUGCCCACGGCACUCUCCCGUUUGUCCUGAAGAUGAGGAAACAAACAAGGCUCCCGACCGUCCCUCAGCACUCACUGAACGGCCCUUCCCCUCUGCUGGGCCAUGACCACGGAGAACAGGUCCACUGUCCUCCCUGAGUGGUGCACAUGGGAGGCUCAGACUCCGUCCUCAAGGCUGGUAAGAAGACAGGGUGAGACAUGAGCCUCCUGAUACAGGUGACGGGUGUGGAGCCCACAGGACUGCAACCUCACACUGCAGGGCUGGAGGCACAGACUGAGUAUUUCCUAUUCUAUGGCCUGGGGGGCUCAAGGCACAGAGCUCCUCAUUAGCCAGAGUCGCCCAUGUUCCCCAUGCUCUAAGGAUUUCCUCAUCAUCAUGCAAGAAGAAGAAUAGAAAAAAGGAAGAGGAAGAAACAAAAGGAACUUCUCUCUUAGAUUUAAUUCUGACCUACCAGGAAGAACUGGAUUGUUGAAGCAGAAGUACUGGAGUCUCUGGAGCUAGUGAGUCAGAGAAUGUCUUUCACAGCAGGGAUUAAAAUGCCCAAUGAAAACCUUUCUGGAAAGGCUCUGAUGUGGGUUCUAAAUGGGUACACAGUUCUCAGAAGGUCAGAGGAAAUUACAGUUUGAUCCCAUAAUCAAAUAAUCUGAAAGAGAAGACAGAAUGAGAGGGAUGGGAGGAUCUCCAAAAUGAAAUCCCGAGAACAAAAGAGUAUGAAUCUUGAUAAGAAGUAAAAGAGUUUGGCUUCAAAAAUACCAGUGUGACUAGCAGAGAGCAAUUUAAUGAGUUUAAUUUGUCAAAGGACUGGGCAAUAAAUGGAAGAAGUUUA